rnacentral:tRNA from 3 species
GCGGCUGUGGCGGAACUGGUAUACGCGCAGCGUUGAGGUCGCUGUGGGAUUUAAUCCCGUGGAAGUUCAACUCUUCUCAGCCGCACCA